rnacentral:siRNA from 1 species
GAAUUUUGGUGCUUCUCUC